UACGUAGGGCGCGAGCGUUGUCCGGAUUUAUUGGGCGUAAAGAGCUCGUAGGCGGCUUGUCGCGUCGUUCGUGAAAACUCACAGCUCAACUGUGAGCUUGCGGUCGAUACGGGCAGGCUAGAGUUCGGUAGGGGAGACUGGAAUUCCUGGCGUAGCGGUGAAAUGCGCAGAUAUCAGGAGGAACACCGGUGGCGAAGGCGGGUCUCUGGGCCGAUACUGACGCUGAGGAGCGAAAGCGUGGGGAGCGAACAGG
rnacentral:rRNA from 1 species